UUGAAACCCGCAAGAAAUUUGUCGUUAUGAAGGCCAAGAAAGAAUCUAAGAACUUAGCUUAGAAAUGAAGUUAGGCUUCAUAUAUUCAUACAUAUAUAGGCUUAGAAAUUAAUAUAAAAUGGAUUUUUCUUAAUAUAAAAUACAACAAAGAGGGAGCACAUGUUGAUGUUAGUAAUAAUCAUGAAAGAGAUCUAACGGUUGGAAAGAAAAUGAGGUUUUGGAGAAAAAGGAGAGGUAGCA
rnacentral:lncRNA from 1 species